UACGGAGGGGGCUAGCGUUGUUCGGAAUUACUGGGCGUAAAGCGCACGUAGGCGGCUUUGUAAGUUAGAGGUGAAAGCCCGGGGCUCAACUCCGGAAUUGCCUUUAAGACUGCAUCGCUCGAGUUGUGGAGAGGUAAGUGGAAUUCCGAGUGUAGAGGUGAAAUUCGUAGAUAUUCGUAAGAACACCAGUGGCGAAGGCGACUUACUGGACACAUACUGACGCUGAGGUGCGAAAGCGUGGGGAGCAAACAGG
rnacentral:rRNA from 1 species